CUUAUACUCCCUCCAUCCGGAAAUACUUGUCGUAAAAGUGACUAAAAAUGGAUGUAUCUAACAAUAAAUACGUCUAGAUACGUCCAUUCAUUCGACAAGUAUUUCCAGACGGAGGGAGUAUUUA
rfam:Triticum aestivum genome assembly, contig: Triticum_aestivum_CS42_TGACv1_scaffold_320487_4BL